CGGCAGCAACACAUAAAAUUGGUUUAACACACCCAUCUUUCAAGCAUUCUUAAAUUAGUCUUCUAUUAUUCCACCAUAACACCAAUUCAUAUUUAAUUAUACCCGAGCAUGCAAAUAUUUGGUUGCUUUUGUCAACCAGCAACUACUAAACCUUGAAAGAAUCAUUACUUCUGAAAGAAAUCAAUCUUUCUAUACCUGUUAGACCAAGCUGAGUGCCGCCACCACUUCAACAACAGAGCAUUGUGCUAUACUUCAAACUUGAUUGAUUUAGUAGUUGAAAAACAAUCAUGUCCAAAAGAUUCAGCAGUGUAUGAAUCAAUUAGCUUUCUGACAUCAGGUGAAAAAAUUCUCACAAGACAGAGAACAAAAAACUGCCCGAUCGAUAUGCUUGCUAAAGAAUAAAAACCUAACCCACUAUGAAGUCACGUAAAAUAGAAAGAGAUAUCAAGGCUGAUAUGCAUCUUUUCCAAGAUGACCUGAAACUCUAGAAAAAGAAUUUGCCAGCAGGAAUACCUAUUUGUAUGGAAUCAAUCUUCCCAUCAUUUAAGUAUCAUUCACAAACCACGAAUCAUUCCCUAUAUUCACCACAAGCAUGGAAAUAGAAACCAUAGGUUACUGCAACUCUUUCUCAGUGCAGAUCAUUUCUAGUAUUUAUGAACUCGGACCAGAGCUCCUCCAAAGCAAUGAAGAUACUGGAUCUUGCCUGUUGAGGUUUUCCUAUCAAUCAAACAUCUGCAAGGAAAAUAAAUCCCAAAUUAACUCUGCAAAAAAUUGUAGAAAGAUUGGGUUAUGGGGUAACUGAAAGCAUGUGAAGGUGCCUAUUGCAGCUAAAUUCAAAAAUCAAAUUGCUACAGAAACCCCAUGGAAUUGUUUUACACAAUUCCCUUCAAAAAUAUUGUCAACUACGUAGCAACUAAAAAUUCCAUGAAAAUUAUUUAAAGAAAUGAUGCUUCAAAAGCAUCGCUUGUCUCCUUAAACGGCCAAUCAACAUUUGUAAUAUAAGGAAUCAUACAAAUCUGCUUGAUGUUUAGGUCUCAUUGGAUAGUUUGUUCAGCUCAAAAUGAUCUGGAAAACAAUAUCCUCCAAAAUUGAAAAAUAAAAAAAUAAAAUAGCAACUAACAAUAUAGCUUAGCUCAUAAUGACAAGAAAACUGGAAUCUAAAUCUGUUGAACAAUAUUAUGUAUAUCAUCAACUUUCUCUUCCCUAUUCUCAUUUGCAGUCAUGCCUCAUGCAACACUUGCAGAUGGUUCAAUCUCAUUACUAAAACUGUGUUGCUACACUAAUUAACUUCCAGAUCCAACUUACUUUCCUGUGAAUUCAAUCUUAAAUUAAAUCACGCAUAAAAAGAAAGAAUACUAUGUACAAUGUGAUGCUAGGAUAAAGAAGGAAAAUACUUCUGAUAUUUUCUUCUAUAUUUGUUCCUGGCUAUAUGCCUCCUAUUUAUAUUGGCUGCUUUCUCUGAAAAAAUUGAUCUAGAAAACACUUUGUUUAUGCAACCAAAGGGUUCAACUCGACUUCGAUACAGUCACAGCCUGGUUUACAAUCACAAGAUAGGGUUUUGAUUCUAUUUGCAAUAUAGGACUAGGGUUUCCAUAUGUCACGCAGCAAGGACGAAUAGAUAGAAGCUAAAAUUCCACAAGUGUGAUGAAAAGGGAAACUUCAGCAUAUGGCAAACUGGGAUACCAGCUCUAAUGGUACAGCAGAGGGACCAAACCCAAAAAAGAUGGAUAAGGAUGACUGAAAGGAGAACAACAGAUUUCUUUUAGCAUAAGUUGUAUAUGCUUGGGGCAUUCGAUUAACCAGACUGAGACCAAAUGGCAAGGGGUUUGUAGGCGAAACUUAAAAUCUGUUCAUGGCAAAGAACAUGACUAACAAAAUUUUUACAAAAGAGAGAUUUUGAUACAUCUGAUUGACCGCAUAACCUUGUUACAUAAGAAAGUUAACAAUUUGGUGACUUCAAGAUAAGGAAAUCAUAUUUUUUUGUAUCCUGCCGCCUUCUAUCAUCUCAUCACUAGAGUGAUUUAUGAGAAAGAAAUCUUAUCUAAUAAGGAGGUGGUUGCAGUCCCCUAAGCUCUCAAUGAAUGAAGAAAAAUUUUGAAGCAGAAAGUUCCCAAUCAAAAUGAUCAGUGACAAAUACAGAUUGUGGACAAGGUAGAUCUUGAGUUAAAGGUGCAGAAGGGGAAAGUCCAAAGAAGUUCCAAGUUGAAAGGUAAGAAGGGGCAUGCUUUAAGUGCCCUCAAAAGGGCUAACUAUAAGAAAGAUUGUUCUCUGUUGAAGAAAAUAAUGAACAGAAGGAGAACUACAAGUUCUACGAGUGUGUCCUCAGACAUGAGACGAAAAGACAAUGGUGGUUUCUGCAAGUAAUAGUGUUUAUCUUUCUCCCUGGACGUUAAGUUCAGCUUGUUUGUCUCACUAUAUAGUAAAAGAGAUUGAUCUAAUACUUACAAACAGUGUGAUACUUGCAGUAUUGAGCCAGGUGAUAACUGUUAACGCAAGGCGAUUGGUAUAAGGGGAAUCAAAAUUAAAAUGUUAGAUGAGGUGAUCAAAAUCUUGAAAAAUGUCAACAUUGGCCGGGAAUUGAGAAAAAUUUGAUUUCCCUGGGCUAUUUAGAAAAGACUGGGCUCUUUAGAAUGACUUUGUAUGGUUUUUUUUGUGUAGAUCCUGUAAAUGGAAUCCUAAAGAUUACCAAAGGUCUCGUGGUUGUAAUGAAAGGGGAAUCAAGUAGAAAAUAAUUUGUACAAGUUGGUUGGUACUACGGUUAUACUUGAUACUUCAAUUGUAUCAUUAGGAUCUGACACUGAUGACUACUCUCUGACAUAUGGAUCAUAUUGGCAAGCAAGACAUGGUGGAACUUCACAAAAGAAAGCUGCUGAAGGGGUUAAUUGUUUUUGUCCGUUUAAUUUGAGAACACUAGAUCCUUAGGAAACAAAAAGGGAUGAGCUUCGCAUCUUCUCCAGCCAAGAUAUCAGCAAAGGGUAUGGACAAGUAGAGAUUGGAUUAUUUUAUGCUUAGACUAAUGAGCGGUCUAAGUUGGAUUUCCAAGUCAACAAAAUGCAUCUUUGUCAGUUACCAUAAGGGACUUGAAGGUUGAAAGUCACAGAUUGUCGGAUCUGAAGGCAGAGAAAAUGACUGUCAGUAGAGAUGUAGUCUUUAAUAAGAGAACAAUGCUAAAGAAACAUCCAGCUUUAUUCUUUCUGAUGUACAAGGUUACAAGGGAGAGAGGGAGCUCAGGAACUUAGAAAAUCAAAAUCGAUCAACAAAUCAGUCAAAAAAUGAUGGCAGUAGUGAUACCCAAUUCUCGUAGUGAGCAACUAGAAGACCCAAUUUUACAACAUUUUCAUCAACAGACCUAAAAGCAUUUAUAAUGCUCCUAUGAUCUAUGGGUUUGAGAAUGUAACAUUUGAUGCACCAUUAACUAGUUGUGAAGAACCUUGUUCAUUUAAGGAAGCAAUUUCUGGUCUAGAGAAAGAUUAGUGGAAAGAAGUUAUGGUUCAUUAGGCGUCCAAUGACAUUUUCUUUCUUGGAACUUAAAAUACAUUUGUCAGGAACAAUAGUGUUGUACUCUUAUUUCCAAACUUAAAAUAUUUUUUUUUGAAAUAAAAUUUCCAAGCUUAAAAUAAUAUGUCCUAUAUAUAUAAGUUCUAGGGAUAAGAGAAGGAAAAGUACAAUUAAUUACAAAGAGUAUAUUUUACUUUAAUACCUUUUAACCUAUUUUAACCCUAUUUAUACAUAAAGUAGAUUCUUUAAUAUUCCCCCUCAAGUUGGGAUGGAUGUUAUUCAUCACCCACUUGUAAAUGAUAAUCUGGAAUGUUGGACUAUUAAAGCCUUUAGUCAACAUAACUGUAAGUUGUAACUUGGUUGGCAUAUGAGGUGUACAUAUCAAACUAUUAUCCUUAAUAAAAUGCCAAUCAACUUCAAUGUACUUUGUUCUAUUAUCUAUAGAGGAUUGUAAGAAUACUUAUCGCCGAUUGUUGUCACAGUAAAGGCGCACUGGGUUAUCCCACUUGACUCUUAAAUCUUCUAAGAAUCUUUCAACCAUAGUAACUCACAUACCAUUUAUACCAUUACUCAGAAUUUUGAUCUACAGUAACCUGAAGUAGAUCUUUCUAUCCAUCACUGAUCCUGCAUAGUAUCAGUGUAAACUUCAAGGAUCAACCUAUCAUUCCUUUUAAACAUCAAGGAUUUAAAUUUUGAGAAAAGAAGAAAUGUUAUCUCAAAGUGAGGUAACAUCCCUAAUCAGUGUCGAACAAUGCAGGAGGGGGAAUAUACUACAACUCCGCACGACUAACAACUCAAUAAUGGUAAUCAAAGGCUCCAAACCAUGUCAACAAGGAAAAGAGUCAAGUAACAAUUAGAACCUAGAAGGGAAUAAGGAUGAUUUGUGGUGUAC
rnacentral:lncRNA from 1 species